rnacentral:rRNA from 1 species
GAUGAACGCUGGCGGUCUGCUUAACACAUGCAAGUCGAACGGGCUCUCUCGGGAGCUUGUGGCGGACGGGUGGGUAACGCGGGAGAAUCUGCCCUUUGGAGGGGGAUAACGGUUGGAAACGACCGCUAAUACCCCAUGUGCCGAGAGGAAAACAGUAAUCCGCCAAGGGAUGGGCUGGCGUCGGCUUAGCUAGCUGGAGGGGUAAGAGCGCACCAAGGCGACGAUCCGUAGCGGGUCUAAGAGGAUGACCGGCCACACUGGGACGGAGACACGGCGCAGACUCCUACGGGAGGCAGCAGUGAGGAAGUUUCCGCAAUGGGCGCAAGGCUGACGGAGCAAGACCGCGGGAGGGAAGACGGUCUGUGGAUUAAAAGCCUCUUUUGACAGGGAAGCAGUACUGACGGUACCUGUCGAAUCAGCCUCGGCUAACUCCGUG